AACGAACGCUGGCGGCGUGGAUAAGACAUGCAAGUCGAACGGGAACUUCAGCUGUAGCAAUACAGUUGAAGUUUUAGUGGCGAACGGGUGCGUAACACGUGGGCAAUCUGCCGAGAAGUGGGGGAUAGCUCGCCGAAAGGCGAAUUAAUACCGCAUAUGAUCAGCUAAGACAUCUUAGCGACAUCAAAGCCGGGGCAACCUGGCGCUUUUUGAGGAGCCCGCGGCCUAUCAGCUAGUUGGUGAGGUAACGGCUCACCAAGGCUAUGACGGGUAGCUGGUCUGAGAGGACGACCAGUCACACUGGAACUGAGACACGGUCCAGACACCUACGGGUGCAGCAGUCGAGUAAUUUUUCUCAAGUGGGGCAACCCUGAAGGAGCGACGCCGCGUGGAGGAUGAAGG
rnacentral:rRNA from 1 species